rnacentral:rRNA from 1 species
CACGUAGGGGGCAAGCGUUGUCCGGAUUUAUUGGGCGUAAAGAGCGUGUAGGCGGUUUGGUAGGUCCGUUGUGAAAAUUCGAGGCUCAACCUCGAGACGUCGGUUGAAACCAUCUGGCUAGAGUCCGGAAGAGGAGUGUGGAAUUCCCGGUGUAGCGGUGAAAUGCGCAGAUAGUCCGGAAGAACACCGGUGGCGAAGGCGGCCGCUGGCGA